rnacentral:lncRNA from 1 species
UAGAUGUUAUAAGUUAGGCAAUGAGCAUAGAAAUCAUAACAUUCCUAGUCAGGUUAGCUUUCUGUCUAAUCAGGUUAGUCAUUUGACUGAGAUGCUUACUAAGCUUACUAGGAGUACUUUAUCAUCUAGGAAAGUUUGGGUCAAAAAGGGUGAUCUAGCUAGACAUUCAGGUCAAGAAAACUGUUUUGUUGCUCAUGUUGCAUUAAAAGCCCAAAAUUACAAUAUGUGGUAUCUAGAUAGUGCAUGUUCUAGGCAUAUGUGUGGUAAUAAAGCUUUGUUCACUACUCUUGAUGAAUGUAAUGGUGGUAUGGUUACCUUUGGAGAUGGGG